UGUUAUUUCUUCAUGUUAUUAGCUGCCCAUUUGAGACGUGAGCAAAAGAACAGCGGCGAUGCACAACCCUACACAGCACCACUCGUUGUCAUCUUGUCGGUCAAGUAGGCGCAUCGGAGGCUGCUCCACGCCUCCACCAUGGAAUCAAAUGGGUGAGGUCUUUUGCCCCUUUCCAAAUUCUGAAACCUCCCACUUCUAUGUAUAUGAACUUGUUCUUACUUGUUAUUCCAAUGUUUUAUAAUUAGUAUAAGGGUGCAGCGGCUGUUCUAUUCAUUAGUUGAUCCAUCUCCCACUUUAUAUUGCCCCUCAUCUCCCACUUUUUUUAUCACACAAUUCAGCAGAAAUUCUUUUCGGUCGUAUCUUGCCAAACUGAAGUAAUAUAUUCAAGCCAAAGACUGUACUGGCAACAAUUGUAAAUUGAGAAAACAGGAAGAAAAUAAACUUGCUGAUAAUGCAAUCAGAACAGAGAGUUAUGGACAUGUUUCUUUACUUUUCGCGUACUUUUGCACCAUCAAUUAUCAGUUGUGAAUUGUGAUCACUCGGUUCACUAAUAUAGUUGCUUGUUGAUCUUGGUCGCCGUUUCCAGUUUGCCCUGUCAUCUUGCUCAUAAUGCAGUCAACUUUAUUUCACUUUCAGCAUCAUGGAUCAUUCGAUCCUUCUGCACACUCAAUGAACAAGGGAGCUAGAGCGCUGAAACUUCCCGUAUUUUUAGUUUGUUGAUGCAUGACUGUUUUUCUUGCUAUCAUUGUCAUGACAAUGACUGGCUAGGAUGUGCUGAUGUAUUUUUUCAUCCAUGUUAACCACUAACCCACAGCUUAGCUAGACAGAGCUUCUUCUUUUUUUCUAUACAAACGCUUAUGUACCUUACAUAUUCUUUUAUUAGCAUACAAUUAAUCAGUGUUGCACACUGAUGGCAGGAAUUCUACUAUACAAGAUUAUAUCAAGGGGAAAGGAUAAGGGAGAAUGGGACUCUAUGAAGAAAGAACAAGAAGGUGUCCCUGAAAAAUAAGCAGCUGGAGAACAACAAGCUUAUUGUUGACUUUCUACAGAAAAUGUCGUAACACCUGAGAAAAUUGCUGGUGAGAACAUCACACAUGUUCUUAUAGUUUUUAAAUGAAAAACUUUUAUGUUUAUCUCUUUUUUUACUAGAAUAGUAGAUAAUGGGGCAUAGAUAUUUGAGAAGGCUUAGUGCAAUUAAUCCCUUUAUCUUGCAGUACUUUACACAUGGGUUCCAUUAUCAAAAUAGGAGAGCCUAGCAGUACAAAAUCGAGGCUCUGUACUAUAUUGUUGGCCAAAGGUUAUACAUAUGUACCUGUACUGAUUUAUUUAUAUUUGUAGCAUUUGAGAUGGUUGGCUUGUCAAUGCUACAAAUCGGUAUUUCUACUUCUAGAGAAAUGUAUGUUCGUUUUCCGAAUAACUGCUAUUGACCUUACAUGAUUCUUUUAAGUCAUACUAAUUUGGAUUUGUUAUGACAUACACUUGAACAUUUAUAGUAGAGAUAUCUGACUUUGUCUGUUGGAAAUUGAUAUCAAACAACAUGGAUAGUGCUAUUGUUCCUUUGCAUAAGCCAAAUUAGUCCUGACUAUUAUAGACGGCCAUUCCUUAUAGCACUAGGCAAAAUGAAUGUGGUUACUCACUGUUUCAGAUGAGUUUGUCAAUAAUUUGGCAAUGUGGUGUCGAAGUCUUUGCCCAUGAGGUUACACCUUCAAGGGUGACAUUGAAGAAGCAUUCAGAUGCACAGACAUAACAGAAGAUCAACUUGCACGUACAAGUUGUAUUGCAGACGAUGGGGCCAUGCGGUUGAAUGUGUCUGGUCAAGUUGAGCAAGAAGCAUGAUAUCAUUAACGAGAUGUUCACAAAAUUUCUUCAAAGUUUAUUUGAUGGUGUGGCAUAUUUUUUUCUGGUUAAGUUUUCUGUAUAUUUCUAUAUUUGUUUGUACAAACUGGAAGCUACAGAUGAACUUCAUAUAUACUCUUCCAACUUCGUUCAAUAAGAUCAAAGUAUGCAAUAUGUUUUUGAAUAGUAUAUGUACUAUAUGUUUCUGAAUAGUAUAUGUAUGUUCAACAGUAUUCAAAUUCUUUCUUUUCAGAGGGAAAUAAUCUUUUCGAUGGUAAAUAUAUUCCAAAGCAAUAUAACUAUCAUUGGAUUCACUAAUUCAUGCAUUAUCGAUAGUGGUAGAGGCAGAGAAAAUGUUGUCAGAUUAGAAGAGUGUAGGUUGUUCUAUGGUGAUGGGUACGACUGUGGCGUGGAGCCUUGAGGUCUUACAUGCC
rnacentral:lncRNA from 1 species